CCGUCGGCCAUCUUGGGUCCGGGGUUACAGACGACUUGAGAUAAACACUCUAUAUAUUACAAGUACAUGAUCCAAUCCAGACUCUUCCCAGAUGGCUCCUUUGAGUUCACUGCAGUGACUGUACUGGAUGGACAACAGAUUGACUCCUACAACAGCAGGGACAGAAUUAGGACUCCCAAACAGGACUGGCUGAAGAAGCUUCCACAGAGAGACUGGCUGAGAGGCACUGAUGAACUACAGGAAAAUGGACAUUGGUUAAAUAACAGGCUCAGUUUAGUUAUUAAUGACUUUGGAAACAAUAAAUCAGGUAACAAAGUUAUCUGAGAGUAAACUCUGAAAGCAAAGUCUUAACAUCCCGAAGACUUCCAGGGGUCUCCAGGACCGUUAAUGCGCAGCGCUGUUCCUCUGGACCUGUGGAUGUAUUAAUUGGGAGACAUAGUGAUGAAGAGCAGGUGUCUCCCAUCAGUAAACAGGUGAUUUAGAUCGGGGUGAAUGACCGGUACGUCCCUCAUCUAAUGUGGGCGUCUCCUUCUCAGAGUUGGCCCGGCCUACCGUGAUUUUAUGUGUAAAUCUUGCAAUGCAUCCUACAAGGAUGCUUUAUUAUAUUUAUUAUAUAUUUUUAUAUAAUUAUUGUAUAUUUAUUAUAUACAUUCUAAAUACUCUUGUAGUAUUUUGUUGGAAAACUGAUGUUUUGUGCAUAUAAAACAAAUUAAGAAAAAACCCUCCAGUUUCUAGUGGUUACUCAGUAAAAAUAAGAUCUAAAUAAAUAUUAGAUAAAGAUUAGAUAAAAGAUCUAACAGAAUUACCACUUACAUUCCUUCACUUAUCAAAAUAUAUGUAAAGCUUCUUUAUAUGUAAAGAAGAAAAUGUUUAAAAAACACUAUAUGGUUACAAUAGGCAAUGUAUCAUUCAUUCUGCCUCAGCAUCAUGCCUGUGGGCGGAGUCAGGUCACAGGACUUCAUCUACAUCAGAGACAAUCCUCUCCAUUGCUAGGCAACAACCUUGAACAGAUUCUACUCCUGUGUUGUCACAAGCUGCAGCCAUUGACCGGUUAUAAGGGUUUUGGUCAUACACCUUCCACCACCAUGUUGAGAACAAUUCUUCAGUAGGAUUAAGGAAGGGAGAGUAUAGUGGGAGACAUACAUUUAUAAAACAUGGGUCAUAAACUGUUCACAAAUUCUUGGAGCUCCGUGAAAGUUCACAUUCUCCCAUAUUACAACAUGCAUAGGAUGCUUUGCCUAAUCAUGACCUUGAUGCUCUUGUCUGAGCACAGUAUCCCAUAGAACAUCCAGAAGUGUUAUGAGACAGUCAGUGUUGUAGGGGCCUAAAGUCACAUGGUGGUGGUGAACCCCAGAGUUGCUGAUGUCAGCACAUAUGUCAUGUUACCACCACUCUACCCAGGCACUUCUACAAUGGCACGUUGACCAAUGAUGAUGCAACCUCUCCUUCUCAUCUUCAUGAGAUUGAACGCAGCUUCAUCCAAGUAGAUGUAUUCUCCAUGGACUCCAAUUCAAACACUCCCUUUACUCAUGGAAAAUAGAGUACUGUAAUAUUAGUUUUGUAAAUGAUGAAGUCUGGCAUGCUAUAUGUCUCUGUAUGCAUGUGUUGCUUUACAUACAGUACACUCUAGAUGUAUGUAAUACAGUAGUGCUGUAGAUUCACAUUUUAGUCAACAACUUGCUGUUGUCUUUCACACAGUCAAAUUACAUUAUUUUGAAGGACAAUAUCAACAAUGUGAGUAUCCUGUUGUUGUGAGAAUGUGUCCUUCCACUCUCAAGUGCCAGUCUUUCCAUCCUACAAAGGAUCAUUUUGUUAGAAGUGUACAUGCUAUAAUACUGUACUGACAUGUUUCCCCUAAUACUAUACAAUACAGACAAUACUACAAGGAAACCUUUUUCCCUGUCCACUUUCUAGAGCUUUGGUGGAGUGGUUUACUGAGACUGAAUACUGAAUCCUACUGAAUACUGUACUGUAAUUUUCAGGGACCAAAGAUUAGAGUCAUUUUACCUGUUUUCUAUAGAGGCCACUGAGAACCUGCUUACGUAAAUUAUGUUGAACAUGUAGUCCUGCUUCACUUGUGCUCACUCCAUGAACUAGAACAUGGCCUAUGAUUGUCGCUCUUAUUUCUUCUGAGAUUAUGGCUCUUGCUCUUCCUCCUUGUCCAUCAGGUUAAAAAAUGUUUUGGAUAAAAAAGUUAAAGUUAUACAUCUGUGUAGACAGCAAACCAAAUAAAAAAUCACCUGGGAAAUGAAUCCACACCAGGCUAUUCCGUGGUGUUGUUAUUUACAUGUUGUUAUUUACAGGCAAGUGAACAGAAAGGAAGGGCAGCAUAAAGUUAAUCAAGCUUUUUAUAAAAUGUUAAUACAAGCGCAUCUAAAUAUGGCUGCUACCAAACAAUGCAAUAUAUCAAAUGGAAAUGUAAAAUUAUUAAAUUCACAAAAAUGAUAUGUAUGCAAUUUUUUUUCAUUGGUGAGGUUUUGAAUGAUUGGAAAAUCAUUAAAUAUUUUGAAAUCAGAAGUCUUAUUUAAAUAUAGACACUUAAAAAUGGUGUAAAGGACAAAAUUAUGUCAUCAUGUAGGAUGGUGUGAUGGUCACAGUUCCGUAAUGCAGUAUGCAAAUCAUACUCCAAAUCACACUCAGCAUUAGAACAAACACUAAAAAGUAACCACUGAAAUAAACAACAAACAAAAGAUUUACAGUAUGAAUGUAUCAAAUAUAAAACACUCUUUGUCAAUGAUGACUGUGGCAUUGUUGGUGGAGGAAUGACAUUGGCCCUUAUUCAUCAAAGUUGUGUGUAGUCAGAUCAUUAAGUGUAAAUUUCACUGAGAGAUUUCUUAUUCUUCUGCUUCAUCUUUUCAUCUUGCCUUGUCAGUGACAGUGACAGUGUUAGUUCAGUGGUACUUGACAAAGCGUUAGGAAACACAGGAAAGGUGACACUUGGAAAUGCAGCUCCAGGUGUAUGUGGUAGUCUGGACAGACUCAAUCUUCUUCUGGUGAAACA